AAGUGCGAACACAGCACGAAGCCAGGCUCCUCUGAGCAGCUGGAAAGAGGGCUCUCACCUCAUCUCUGGGAAGAGGCGGAGGCCAGCCUGACAAAGAGAACGAGAAAACUGCCAGGGGAAGGUGAGAUACCUUUUAUAUUCAUCCAGAAUUGCUGACCAUAUCAAAAUUCAAAAGAACUUACAGAGGUAUGUAUUUAAGACCAUUCAUUCAUUAACGCAUUAUGUAAUCUUGCUGGGUUUUUGAUGUUUGCAGUAUAGCCAGCAUUUCAAAAUUUGUGAUUUGCUAUAAUUUUUUUUCUCAUUCUAAGUAAAUAUGUGUUUUUAUACCAA